AACGCACCAUGAUGUAAAAAAAUUAUUGCAUACAGAUCGGUAACCGAUAUAGACCAUAGACCACCGUGAUCUUAGCUCCGACAUUCGUUCUUACCAUAUAGCUGAAAAGUCGUUUAUGCCAUUCUCUGUUAUAGUUAAAGGUUGCGCCAAUGUUUUCCCUCUUCUUUCCAAUGGCAGUAUCUUCCUGCUGUUGGAUGAAUUUGGGAGGUGUCUGCAGCCUUCCAUCGUGUCCCAACUCCUUUAGAUAUCCCAAUCUUCCUCGGCUCCGCUUCAGUUGCUCCGCUUUUCCCAUUUCUAAGUAUCAGAGGCCAUAUACGACGGUAAUGGUGGUUCCGACGGGGGUGGGGGCUACUAUUGGUGGCUACGCCGGUGAUGCUUUGCCAGUUGCACGAACUCUGGCUUCGGUGGCCGAUUGCCUCAUCUCGCAUCCCAAUGUUCUGAAUGCAGCAAUGCUGUAUUGGCCAAUGCCAAAUACGCUCUACGUAGAGGGAUAUGCACUUGAUAGGUUUGCUGAAGGAAACUGGGCUCUUCAACCUGUUCACCAUAACAAGAUAGGUCUGGUUCUUGAUGCUGGAAUGGAGGAAGAGCUGCAGAUUCGUCAUCGACAAGUUGCGGAUGCAUCAAGGGCUUCAUUAGGCUUGCCGGUCCUGGAAUAUAUUGUCACCGACUUUCCUUUGGAGGUUGAAAAAUGGGUCAACCCCAAGAGUGGGCAGUCAACGGGGAGGAUUAAGAACCCUGAUUCUUUACUUAGGGCGGUUGAUAUUUUAGUCAAUCGUUCACAUGUAAAUGCCGUAGCUAUUGUUGGGCGUUUUCCAGAUGAUGACUUAGACGAAAUGGAAGAUUAUCGGCAAGGAAAGGGCAUAGAUUCUUUGGCUGGAGUUGAGGCGGUUAUUAGCCAUCUUAUUGUGGAAAAGUUUCAGAUUCCUUGUGCCCAUUCACCUGCAAUAUUACCUGCUCCUCUCUGCUCAUCACUGUCCCCAAAGUCUGCUGCAGAAGAGCUAGGAUAUACCUUCCUGCCUUGUGUUCUUUCUGGACUGAGUAAAGCGCCUCAAUAUUUAGUAGACUGGCAAGGUUCCUGUAAUGAUGGCUGUAUAGUCACUGGUGAUAUUGACAGUGUAAUUCUACCUAUUGAUGCUUGUGGGGGUGAUGCUGCUCUAGCUUUUGCCAGGAGCAGCAGAAGAAACAAGCCCCUCUUAGUAGCUGUUGAGGAGAAUGAAACGGUACUUGAUGACACUCCUGAGAAGCUUGGAAUUCAAGCGGUUAGGGUAAAAAAUUACUGGGAAGCUGUGGGAGUUAUCGCGGCACAUAAGGCGGGAGUGGAUCCGAAUGCUCUCAGGAGAGAAGGAAUUGAUAGAAUUAACUGACAAAGAGAAGUGAAGUGAUUACAUUGCAACUAGUCAUGACAAACUGAAUGAAGAAUAGAAAGAACGGAAGAAAAAGAGAGCAAACGCAAGAUCCCAUGGGCAAAUCUUCAUAAUAAUCAGAACGAUGCAUAGCGGGCAUAAAAGAGGAUUCUGAUUUUAAGAGACUUGGUAUGGAAUAAGUGAGUGGAAUCCAUAACCCAGCAGCUCAAAUAACCCUCAAAAACCCAUUUUUGGAGAGUAAGGAGCUCUACCGCAGCCAAACAAAACCUCAAAACCCUCUUGCAAUAAGAGGUAAAAGAGCUAUGAAGGAGAAUCGAAUACCUAAAGCUCUCAGAAAAUUUAACAGCUUAAUAUACUUCGCUCAUGAAUAUGCGCUGCUGCUAGCAGAUGGAGCUACAACCUGCUGGGAAGCUAGUUUUAUAGAACAUAUCUGAGUAAGUUUUUUGUUUAUUUUUAAUAUUAAUCUGUAUAAUUAAAUAAAUAUAUAUAAAAAUAUACAUAUAUAUUUACGGAAGGCAGUUAAAUUCUUACUUUAACGUCUUUUCACGGCUUUAUUGUAAGCUGAGCGGGGUGCUGUUUGAUUCUCUCGCAUCGUGAUUGCACGUGAUUUAACAGUAAGAUGUCUGGAGAUGCAAAUCCC